ensembl:snoRNA small nucleolar RNA SNORA9
UUGCAGACCUCCAGCGAGGCCCAGCCUGCAGUGGCUCUGUCCUUUCCUUUAGCGUCUGCUAGAGCGACGUGGGGCUGUUUGAGGCCCUGCUGUGGUUCAGUCACAGCUGGGUUAUAGGUAAACCUCCAACAUUU